rnacentral:rRNA from 1 species
UACGUAGGGUGCAGGCGUUAAUCGGAAUUACUGGGCGUAAAGCGUGCGCAGGCGGUUUGCUAAGACAGGUGUGAAAUCCCCGGGCUUAACCUGGGAACUGCGCUUGUAACUGGCAAGCUAGAGUGUGGCAGAGGGGGGUGGAAUUCCACGUGUAGCAGUGAAAUGCGUAGAGCUGUGGAGGAACACCGAUGGCGAAGGCAGCCCCCUGGGCUAACACUGACGCUCAUGCACGAAAGCGUGGGGAGCAAACAGG